CGUAAUUUAGGCAUAUUACUAAGCGGAGGAAAAGAAACUAACAAGGAUUCCCCCAGUAGCGGCGAGCGAACAGGGAAGAGUCCAGCACCGAACCCCGCAGGCUGCCGCCUGUCGUGGCAUGUGGUGUUUGGGAGGGUCCACUACCCCGACGCCUCGCGCCGAGCCCAAGUCCAACUUGAAUGAGGCCACGGCCCGUAGAGGGUGCCAGGCCCGUAGCGGCCGGUGCGAGCGUCGGCGGGACCUCUCCUUCGAGUCGGGUUGCUUGAGAGUGCAGCUCCAAGUGGGUGGUAAACUCCAUCUGAGACUAAAUAUGACCACGAGACCGAUAGCGAACAAGUACCGUGAGGGAAAGUUGAAAAGAACUUUGAAGAGAGAGUUCAAAAGUACGUGAAACCGUUCUGGGGUAAACGUGAGAAGUCCGAAAGGUCGAACGGGUGAGAUUCACGCCCAUCCGGCCACUGGCCCCCGCCCUCGGCAGAUGGGGCCGGCCGCCCGCGCGGAGCAAUCCGCGGCGGGGUCGUGUCCGGUUGCCUUUCCACUCGCCGCGGGGUGGGGCCGUUCCGGUGUGCGGUGGGCCGCACUUCUCCCCUAGUAGGACGUCGCGACCCGCUGGGUGCCGGCCUACGGCCCGGGUGCGCAGCCUGUCCUUCCGCGGGCCUCGGUUCGCGUCUGUUGGGCAGAGCCCCGGUGUCCUGGCUGGCUGCUCGGCGGUAUAUCUGGAGGAGUCGAUUCGCCCCUUUGGGCGCUCGGGCUCCCGGCAAGCGCGCGCGGUUCUUCCCGGAUGACGGACCUACCUGGCCCGGCCCCGGACCCGCGCCGCUGUUGGCUCGGGAUGCUCUCGGGCGGAAUAAUCGCUCCCGUCAGCGGCGCUUCAGCUUUGGACAAUUUCACGACCCGUCUUGAAACACGGACCAAGGAGUCUAACAUGUGCGCGAGUCAUUGGGCUGUACGAAACCUAAAGGCGUAAUGAAAGUGAAGGUCUCGCCUUGCGCGGGCCGAGGGAGGAUGGGGCUUCCCCGCCCUUCACGGGGCGGCGGCCUCCGCACUCCCGGGGCGUCUCGUCCUCAUUGCGAGGUGAGGCGCACCUAGAGCGUACACGUUGGGACCCGAAAGAUGGUGAACUAUGCCUGGCCAGGACGAAGUCAGGGGAAACCCUGAUGGAGGUCCGUAGCGAUUCUGACGUGCAAAUCGAUCGUCGGAGCUGGGUAUAGGGGCGAAAGACUAAUCGAACCAUCUAGUAGCUGGUUCCCUCCGAAGUUUCCCUCAGGAUAGCUGGUGCUCGUACGAGUCUCAUCCGGUAAAGCGAAUGAUUAGAGGCCUUGGGGCCGAAACGACCUCAACCUAUUCUCAAACUUUAAAUGGGUGAGAUCUCCGGCUUGCUUGAUAUGCUGAAGCCGCGAGCAAACGACUCGGAUCGGAGUGCCAAGUGGGCCACUUUUGGUAAGCAGAACUGGCGCUGUGGGAUGAACCAAACGCCGAGUUAAGGCGCCCGAAUCGACGCUCAUGGGAAACCAUGAAAGGCGUUGGUUGCUUAAGACAGCAGGACGGUGGCCAUGGAAGUCGGAAUCCGCUAAGGAGUGUGUAACAACUCACCUGCCGAAGCAACUAGCCCUGAAAAUGGAUGGCGCUGAAGCGUCGUGCCUAUACUCGGCCGUCAGUCUGGCAGUCAUGGCCGGUCCUCGUGGCCGGCCGCGAAGCCCUGACGAGUAGGAGGGUCGCGGCGGUGGGCGCAGAAGGGUCUGGGCGUGAGCCUGCCUGGAGCCGCCGUCGGUGCAGAUCUUGGUGGUAGUAGCAAAUACUCCAGCGAGGCCCUGGAGGGCUGACGCGGAGAAGGGUUUCGUGUGAACAGCCGUUGCACACGAGUCAGUCGAUCCUAAGCCCUAGGAGAAAUCCGAUGUUGAUGGGGGCCGUCAUAGCAUGAUGCACUUUGUGCUGGCCCCCGUUGGGCGAAAGGGAAUCCGGUUCCUAUUCCGGAACCCGGCAGCGGAACCGAUACAAGUCGGGCCCCUCUUUUAGAGAUGCUCGUCGGGGUAACCCAAAAGGACCCGGAGACGCCGUCGGGAGAUCGGGGAAGAGUUUUCUUUUCUGCAUGAGCGUUCGAGUUCCCUGGAAUCCUCUAGCAGGGAGAUAGGGUUUGGAACGCGAAGAGCACCGCAGUUGCGGCGGUGUCCCGAUCUUCCCCUCGGACCUUGAAAAUCCGGGAGAGGGCCACGUGGAGGUGUCGCGCCGGUUCGUACCCAUAUCCGCAGCAG
rnacentral:rRNA from 1 species